rnacentral:lncRNA from 1 species
UUGACCAGCUUUGCUUUGGAAGGCCAAGUCUCACGGGGAUGUCCACUCAUUCAUCGUGAUGGCACCAGUGACGACUCUCGAACUUAGGAGCAGAAAAAGAAGGAAUGGCCAUGUGACUUAUGUCCAUGGAAAACCUGUUCUUGAGCGUUUUUCCAGACUGUGAUUGGCUGUGGAUAACAAACUGCGGAAUGCGAAACUGUUGAUAAGGGUGGACUACUGUAACUCUGGACAAUUUCCUCAACUCUGCCCAAUAUCAAAGGAAGGCUCUUGUAAGCAUUUCUAUAAAUUGCAAAAGCAGGCUCCAAGCAUUGUCAGUGAUGUGCUACAAAGAGGAACAACUAAGCUGACACAGAUAUGAAGGCAGCAAUGACACUGAACUGCCAGAAUAGUGAUCCUCAAAGGUGGACAGGUGUCACACCUGAAUCCCUGGGGGUCAGGACCAAUCAACUUCCCCGCCUACCCCAACCGUGGCCACUCUUUCUAGUCAUAGUUUAUCUUAUGCCUCAGGGGCAGUAAUGGGGUUAAGAAAUGGUAGAAAGUAUGUACCCAAAUUCUCAAUCACAUUUGAUUGUUCACUAGAACUUUUUCUAAGAAGACUAAAUGGUGAGAACGGGGGGAUGGCCCUCCAGGAAAAUUCAGGUAGGUGUCAUAAUAUUUAAUGAAAGAGGCAUUUCCUUUUUUAAUCCUUUGUAGGGUCAGAAAAGAAAAAAAUUCAAGAUAUGCAAAGGAAGCCAGAUCAAAAUCCCCUUGGCCAUGGAUACUGGUGCCCUACAUCAGCACCCUUCAAGAGUGUGGAUGAGGCUGAGUAGGUGGGAACCUGCAUCCCUUGAAAGAAGCAGGCAAGGACAGGGUAGUGACAAGUGCUGGUCACUUGUGAGGGCUGCCUCCCCAUCCAGUUCCCUCUGCAGCCAGGAGCAGGAGUUGUUUCUGGCUCAAGCCAGCCCCCAUGGCCGCCAUUCCCUUAUAUGACCCUGCUUCGCAGGGUAACGUACCAGACAGUUUCACGCUCGUUAUCCUUGCAACGGAUUACUCGGUGAGGAGCAUCAGAGAACUGAAAAGACAGACUGACUUCGACUUGAAUCCUGGCUCUUCCUCUUACUAGUUUCAUGGCCUUGGCUGGACUGUGAGCUUCCUGCAGAAAGAGAGCAAACCUUACAGCUUCGUAUUCCUUAAACUGUAACCAGCACAUAGUAUAUAACCAGUGAAAGUUCGUCAUAUCCCCCUGGCUCCUCUGCUGACUGAAUGCACAAGUGAAUGAACAAAGGGGAUGGUGGUGGGGAGAAAUGAAACUAGAGAUCUUCAGUUAACCAAAGGGAAUGUUCCAACAGAGCCCACUUUUCUUGUUUUGACUGGUUCGGCAAGUAAGACAUCAGACUUACCGGAUAUUGUUCAGAGCACUGUUGACUAACUUGUUGACAAGGGAUGUCUGGGCUGCAUUAUAGCCAGACAGGGAAGGCUGUUCAAGUUUCAAUACUAGGUUCCUGAGUUAGGAGUGACUAAGCAGCAGCCGCCCCAUACUGCCAAGCUACCGUGUGGUUUCACACCAUCUGUCACUUGCUGAAGAGGACGGAGUCCCCCCUAGAACUUCCCUUAUUUCACUACCACCUACUGCAGCUGGGUCUGCAGUUUGUAGGCAGGAGAUGUGGGGGUCAAACUAUACUUCAUUUGUGCCCAAUUUUCAAUUGCUAUCUAGACUCUUUUCCUCUCUGGACUUUAACCUUUGCUAUAAAAUUUCCCUAGAGCUUCAAAAUUGUACCCCGAAGUGCCCCUGACUAACAUCAAGCAUAUAUGAAGAUAAUGUCUCAGUACUCUAUUUACAGAUGGAAAAAUGAGUUAUUCCACUGAAGCCAGGAAAAUCCAUGCUGGCACCCUAGCAGUCCAUCAGAAAGUCGUUAUUUCUCCACUGUCAGAGAUCCUGUCCUGAAUAUGCAGCCUAGCACAGCAUGUUAUGGAGCUGCCUCUGGGAUCAAGGGAAAGGAGAACUCAGUACCCUGAGGUGCACAAAAGGCACUGCACAAGAAGGCCCACAUUGACGUGCAGAAGGAAGUGAAGAGGAAGGAGUGAUACAUUCUGAAAUGGUUGAAGAGCCGAAAAAAGGCAAAGCAUUGAGGAAAGUGAGAACUGAGGAAAAGGGCACUGGAUUUGAUGACUCACUACUCUCCUUUAGUGAACUUUAAUAGAAGAGUUUCAGUAGAGUAAUAGAAACCAAAAUUGCAACCAGUUCAACGAGUAGGAGGCAAAGAAAUGCCAGUGAACAUAGAUUAUGCUUGAAAUGAAUGCAAGAGAUGAGACAGCUGACUUCAGAAAGCAGCGGAUUCAACAGAAGAUUGUUUAAUUGGCUGACAAUUUUUAUGAUAAGAAAGACCAGAAAAGGUCUAUAGGCUAAUGGGGGAGAGGAUAGUGGGAAAAGAUUGUAGAGGUUUGGGAGGUUUUUGUCCUCAGAUAGGAGGAAAGAGAGAAGGUACAUGGCACCUAAUACAUACUCAAUACGUAUUUGUUGAAUUAAAAAGGAUCUAGUUUGGAGGAUGCUAACUCUUAUGGGGAGUAAUAGUAUAAUAAUUAAGUCAAAUCUUAGCAAGAGGUGGUUCCUGGAAGAACUCAGGUCUCAUUUGAAGGGAUCCCAAGAUCCCUUGAGCCAGGCACUUCUCCCCAUGCAGGAAUAUAGAGCCAUUGAUACCAGAGAUUCUGAUGGCAAAAAGCUGGAUUUUUGUGGGAGAUUUCUUUAUUUUUAAACUUUGACAACUGUUUUAAACAACGUUAAUCCAACAAAAUAGCCAAUAUUCAGUCAAUUGGCAACCACUUGGUAACUUGUAUUUUAGCACAUAUUUCUCUAGAUCAUACUUGCUUGAAUGGCAUUUAACAGUUUUAUUGAUAUAUAAUUUACAAAUACAAUUCACCCAUUUAAAGUGUACAAUUCAACUGCUUUUAGAAAUUUCCAGAUAUGUGUAACCAUCACCACAGAGCAUUUAAAAAAUUUUCAUCACCUCAAAAAGAAACCUGGGGGUUCUUUAGCUAUCACUCCCCUAUUUCCUCACUCCCCCAACCCCAAGCAACCACUAACCUACGUUCUCUAUACAUUUGCUUAUUCUGUAUUUUAUUUGAAUGAAAUUGUGUAAAAUGUAGUCUUCUGUGACUGGCAUAUUUCACUUAGGGGAUAGGUUUUUUUUUGUUUUUGUUUUCAAGUAAAGAAGUGAGAAUGUGAAAAAUUUGGAGGGAUUUUAAUCUCAGUGAAAGGGAAGGCCAGGGGGUCUCAUCACAGGAGAAGAGGAGAGGAAAAGGGAGAGGGGAA